CCUUGGACUCCCAAAGUGCUGGGAUUACACGCAUAAGCCACUGUUCCUGGCCCAAUGUCAUUAUUUACAUUAUUACGACAAUGUAAAUAUUUUUCUCUAUACCACCUAGUCCUUUGCUAAUAAGGCAUUCUUUUUUUUCUUUUUUUUUUUUUUUUUGAGACAGAGUCUCGCUCUGUCGCCUAGGCUGGAGUGCAGUGGCACAAUCUUGGCUCACUGCAACCUCCACGUCUCAGGUUUGAGCAAUUCACUUGCCUCAGCCUCCCAAGUAGCGAGGAUUACAGGUGCCUACCACAAUGCCUGGCUAAUUUUUGUAUUUUUAAUAGAGACGAGGUUUUGCCAUGUUGUCCAGGCUGGUCUUGAACUCCCGACCUCAGGUGAUCCGCCCACCUUGGCCUCCCGAAGUGCUGGGAUUACAGGCGUGAGCCACCAUGCCUGACCUCACAGCACAUUAUUAAGCUCUGUGGUGAAUAAUAUUUAUAUAGUCACAAUUCUGUAAACACUGUUCAUUUUCUACAAAUUGUGGCAAACCCAAACCUCAAGAAUGGACAGGGCUAGGGUGUAAAAGAGCUAAGUCCUUGCCAGGUUUACCAGGAAGGCAACAGACAGUGUCUAAAACUAUGAGACAGCUGGGCGCGGUGGCUCACGCCUGUAAUCCCAGCACUUUGGGAGGCCGAGGCGGGUGGAUCACGUGAGGUCAAGAGUUCGAGACCAGCCUGGACAACAUGGC
rnacentral:lncRNA from 1 species